CACGCGCCAACGCCAAAAUCCCCAAAACCUCUCUGCCCUAUCCUCUCUUGACGCCGCGAAAAAGCCCUACCUCCCUUCAAGUACCUCCAUCGUCGCCUGCGGUACCUCUGGCGUCGCAUCCCUCCUCCCUCCCGCUGCCUCUCUCCCGUGGCCUCCAGCGCCUCCUCCCUCCGACGUUGUGUCCCUCUAGCGACGCCGACCUUCCGCGGCCUCCCUCCAACAUUGCCGACCUCCAGCGCCUACGGCGACAUCCCUCCCGCGGCUUUCCUCCAGAAGCUACCCUCCAGCGGCCUCCAACAUCACGGCGACCUCCCUCCCAUGGCCUCCAGCGAUUUCCCUCACCUCCAGCCGCCUCCCUCCAGCAGCUCCCCUCCCGCGACCUCCAGCGGCCUCCAGCUACCUCUCGACGCGAAAAAGUCCUAACUGAGACCUAUGAAAAAUCAUUAUGACGAGUUUGCUUCACAAAUGGAGGAUUCAAUGGAUUACAAUAAGAAACAAGCAGUUGAAAGUUAGAAGUUGAAAGCUGAAAGCAUUGAAUGUGAAUACUCUCCAGUUACUACAACAUACGACUAAUUUUCUCGAUAUAUUUGUCACUGAUGUAAAGUUUGCCCUGUGUAAGAUAAGUUAUAUUAACCUCACUAAAAUGUAUUUGAAACAUAUUUGCAGUCAAAAUUUUACAAUAUAGACAAA